rnacentral:rRNA from 1 species
UGGGGAAUAUUGGACAAUGGGGGGAACCCUGAUCCAGCCAUGCCGCGUGUGUGAAGAAGGCCUUAUGGUUGUAAAGCACUUUAAGCGAGGAGGAGGGUACUGGUAUUAAUACUACCAGCUACUGGACGUUACUCGCAGAAUAAGCACCGGCUAACUCUGUGCCAGCAGCCGCGGUAAUACAGAGGGUGCGAGCGUUAAUAGGAUUUACUGGGCGUAAAGCGUGCGUAGGCGGCUAAUUGAGUCGGAUGUGAAAUCCCCGAGCUUAACUUGGGAAUUGCAUUCGAUACUGGUUAGCUAGAGUGUGGGAGAGGAUGGUAGAAUUCCAGGUGUAGCGGUGAAAUGCGUAGAGAUCUGGAGGAAUACCGAUGGCGAAGGCAGCCAUCUGGCCUAACACUGACGCUGAGGUACGAAAGCAUGGGGAGCAAACAGG